GACGAACGCUGGCGGCGUGCUUAACACAUGCAAGUCGUGCGGUAAGGCCCUUUAGGGGGUACACGAGCGGCGAACGGGUGAGUAACACGUGAGCAACCUGCCCUUCACUUUGGGAUAACUGCCGGAAACGGUGGCUAAUACCGGAUAUGACUUCCUCACGCAUGUGGGGUGGUGGAAAGCCUUCGGGUGGUGGGGGAUGGGCUCGCGGUCUAUCAGCUUGUUGGUGGGGUGAUGGCCUACCAAGGCUUCGACGGGUAGCCGGCCUGAGAGGGUGACCGGCCAAAAUGGGAAUGAGACACGGCACAGACUAAUACGGGAGGCAGCAGUGGGGAAUAUUGAACAAUGGGCGAAAGCCUGAUCCAGCAACGCCGAGUGAGGGAUGACGGCCUUAGGGUUGUAAACCUCUUUCGCCUGCGACGAAGCGAGAGUGACGGUAGCAGGUAAAGAAGCACCGGCCAACUACGU
rnacentral:rRNA from 1 species